rnacentral:rRNA from 1 species
GGGGAAUAUUGCACAAUGGGGGAAACCCUGAUGCAGCAACGCCGCGUGAGUGAAGAAGUAUUUCGGUAUGUAAAGCUCUAUCAGCAGGGAAGAUAAUGACGGUACCUGACUAAGAAGCUCCGGCUAAAUAC